UCCUUCUUCUUCAUUAUUCUAUACAAACUUUUUAGAGACAGAAUUUCAUCAAUCCCUUUUGAUUAAUUUUAAAUGCUAAAUGGGAGGGGAUGAGACGGUGAUGUUGACAUCCAUUACAUUACCAUAUAAGGCUUGUUUUGAGAGGUUCUGAGAUCCAUGGUCUCCUUGACGACAGCAUCACUGCCUCAUUCAAGCGAGACGCCACGCGGACUGACUCACGCACGCUGCACGAAGUUGUCUUUGCUAGUUGUUGCUAAUUGUUGCUAAUUAAUCGUGGGUUGAUCAUUAUAUCUACUUGACUGUACUUGUCGAAGAGGAAAGCAAACAUGGGUGGCUGUUGCUCCAGACAGCCUGCCAUGGAGGAAGAUGGAGGAGAACCUGACCACCGCCCGGCCCCUUCUGUGGUUGCAUCGCUGCCUCAGAAGAAACCCUCUUUUUUCCCCACUUUCCCAUCCCUCCCCUCUUCUCGUUUCAACCCCACUGCAUCUCUACCCUCUUCUCGUUCCUCCCCCACUGCAUGCCUCCCCUCUUCUUGUGUCUCCCCCACUACAUCUCUCCUCUCUUCUCGUUUCUCCCCCACUACAUCCCUCCCGUAUUCUUGUGUCUCCACCACUACAUGCCUUCCAACUUCUCGCGUCUCCCCGACUACAUCUUCCCCCUCUUCUCGUUUCACCCCCACUACAUGUCUCCCCUCUUCUUGUGUCUCCCCUAAUACUUGCCUCCCCUCUUCUUGUGUCUCCCCCGCUACAUGUCUCCCCUCUUCUUGUGUCUCCCCCAAUACAUGCCUCCCCUCUUCUUGUGUCUCCCCCACUACAUGCCUCCCCUCUUCUUGUGUCUCCCCAACUACAUGUUUCCCCACUUCUUGUGUCUCCCCCACUGCAUCCAUCUCCUCUUCUCGUGUCUCCCCCACUACAUGUCUCCCCUCUUCUUGUGUCUCCCCCACUAAAUGCCUCCCCUCUUCUUGUGUCUCCCCAACUACAUGUUUCCCCACUUCUUGUGUCUCCCCCACUACAUCCAUCUCCUCUUCUCGUGUCUCCCCCACUACAUGCCUCCCCUCUUCUUGUGUGUCCCCCACUACAUGCCUCCCCUCUUCUUGUGUCUUCCCGACUACAGCUCUCCCCUAUUCUUGUGUCUCCCCCACUACAUCCCUCCCUGUUUCUCAUCACCCCGCCUCUCUCUUCUCGUCCCCAUCCUCCCCUGUUCCGUUCCCUGUUCCUGUUCUUCUGUCCUCUGGUAUCUCCCCAAUAACUGUGUCUCUUUCUCCCUCCCCCCCCUCCUCUCUCUCUCCAACAGGAAUCCUGGACCUUCCAGAUGUCAUCACCCCCAGCAGCAGAGAUGUCUCCUCCCCACCAGGACGGUCAUCAGAUGUCGGUGAGCAGAGCAGCAAAGGGACCUCAGAGGACACCACCCUGCCUGAUGAGGAUGUACUGGGGAAUCAAAUGGUACCUGCAGUAGCUGGGAGUGAGCUCAAUGAGGUGGACCCCACUGGGCCUCCUGCCCAGACAACAGGUACUUUGAAGCAGUCCUCCAUUGAGUAG
ensembl:lncRNA